AAUCAACGCUGGCGGCGUGCCUAACACAUGCAAGUCGAACGAGAACGGUCCCUUCGGGGGCUUAGUAGAGUGGCGAACGGGUGAGUAACGCGUGGGUAAUCUGCCCUGGAGUGGGGGAUAACCCGGGGAAACCCGGGCUAAUACCGCAUGAGCCCUAAGGGGGAAAGGUCUUCGGAUCGCUUGAGGAGGAGCCCGCGUCCGAUUAGCUUGUUGGCGGGGUAAUGGCCCACCAAGGCAACGAUCGGUAGCCGGCCUGAGAGGGUGAUCGGCCACAUUGGGACUGAGACACGGCCCAGACUCCUACGGGAGGCAGCAGUGGGGAAUUUUGGGCAAUGGGCGCAAGCCUGACCCAGCGACGCCGCGUGGGGGAUGAAGGCCUUCGGGUUGUAAACCCCUGUCAGGUGGGAAGAAAGCUCGAUAGGUUAAGAGCUAAUCGAGUAUGACGGUACCACCAGAGGAAGCCCCGGCUAACUCCGUG
rnacentral:rRNA from 1 species